GUGAUUACUUUGGCAGCACAUAUACUAAAGUUGGAACAAUACAGAGAAGAUUAGUGUGGCCCCUGGGCUAGGAUGAUACUCAGAUUCAUGAAACAUUCCAUAAUUUU